GGCUCGUUAGCUUAGACGAAUAAGGCACUUGUUUAGCGUAUAAGGAUUGUGAGUUCAAAUCUCACCCGAGCGG
rnacentral:tRNA from 1 species